AACGUAGGUGGCGAGCGUUAUCCGGAUUGACUGGGCGUAAAGGGUGUGCAGGCGGCUUCUCAAGUGGUGUAUGAAAUCUCCCGGCUCAACCGGGAGGGGUUAUGCCAGACUGGGGAGCUAGAGCGUGGGAGAGGGUGGUGGAAUUCCGGGUGUAGUGGUGAAAUGCGUAGAGAUCCGGAGGAACCCCAGAGGCGAAGGCGGCCUUCUGGACGGAUACGGACGCUGAGACGCGAAAGCGUGGGGAGCAAACAGG
rnacentral:rRNA from 1 species